rnacentral:rRNA from 1 species
UACGGAGGAUCCAAGCGUUAUCCGGAUUCACUGGGUUUAAAGGGCGCGCAGGCGGCUGCUCAAGUCAGGCGUGAAAGGCCUGGGCUCAACCCGGGAAUUGCGCUUGAGACUGGGCUGGCUUGAGUGCGGGAGAGGAUGGUGGAAUUCCCAGUGUAGAGGUGAAAUUCGUAGAUAUUGGGAAGAACACCGGUGGCGAAGGCAGCUCGCUGGGACGGUACUGACGCUGAGACGGCGAAAGCGUGGGGAGCAAACAGG